UAAUUGCCUAAGUCAUUUUUCAGUGAUUUCCAUUUUUGUUAAGUUGUCUUAGAUAUUCAGGGUUUGAGUGUUCUAGAAUUGCCUUUUUAUUUCUGCCUAAAUCUUAAGCCAAAUGAGAUGAUGACGUUCUCUUCUUGAAAAAUAGAAAAUAACGACUUGGGCGGUUUCUUUACGAAGGUGGCGAGAUUGUAAUAGGUUUUGCACCCUCUAUUUAGGGAUGUGCACUAAUUUUUGUCUCUUCUCUUCCCCUCCUCCUCCCCUGGCUGGCCGGGGAACGGAGGAGGAGCACUAGGACGAGGAGGUGAAGGGAGGCGGAGGGAGAGACGACUCGAGCACAGGGAGGCAAGAGACAAGAAGCAGAGACGCAGGAACAGAAAGGCAGCCAGAUGGUCGAUGCUGUGAAGAGGAGGAAGAUGACUGCAGGAGGCGGUGUGUGUGUGUUGGGGAAGGAGACGACGGCACCAACCUCACACACAGCGGGUUAAGGCCUGCAAGAGAGCCUAGUCAAUGAAGAGGAAAAGAAGACAAGAAUAAAGAAUAAAGAAGACAAGAAGAAAGAAGGAAGAAGAGGCAAAAGAGGAGGAGGGGAUUUUUUUUCUGUCUAUACCUGAAGUGUCAUGAAUUUACUAAGGGUGUAUUUAAGUCUGAUAUAACGCGGUGCAUUUAAAUAAGGUAUAUUUAACGGUACCAGUGUGUAGCCUACUUUUGCCUGGAGUUGGAGACGGUAAAAUGCUCUCCGACUCCUUUAUUGUGGUGCUGUGUGGUUUGUUUACUGUGGUGCGAUGUGGGUCAUUUACUGUGGUGCGGUGUGGUUCGUUAAUUAAGGUGAGGUAUGGUUCGUUUAUUGUAGUGCGGUAUGGUUCGUUUACUGUGGUGCGGUGUGGCUCGUUAAUUAAGGUGAGGUGUGGUUCAUUUAUUGUGGUGCGGUGUGGUUCGUUAAUUAAGGUCAGGUAUGGUUCGUUUAUUGUAGUGCGGUAUGGUUCGUUUACUGUGGUGCGGUGCGGCUCGUUAAUUAAGGUGAGGUGUGGUUCAUUUAUUGUGGUGCGAUGUGGCGUUGCGGGCUUUACUUUCCCUACCACUGCACCAGACAAGGGUAAGGGGGAGGGGGUGGAGUCAAAUUUUUUUAUAUCCGCCUCCACACCUGUGUUAGAGUGUAAGAGUAUUGAUGGAAUAUAUUUAGGUGCUGGGUGAUACUGUGGUGCUCUCGUCGCGGCAACCCAUUCUGCUUCUGCAUAAUAACCCAUACUGCUGCAUGACGCAUAGCAACCUGUGUUUUUUUCCGCUGUUGCAACGACCCGUUCUGCUGCGUGACGCAUAGCAACUCGGCAGUCACUAGAGAUAAAAUUCGCCUGUGCCACUUCUGCUGUCGCAUAAACCCGCCGCGUUGCCAACUUGGCAACAACCCAACUAAUGAAUUUUCUGAUCAAAGAUCAAAGAGAGGAUUAGGCCUUCAGGGGACACCUCUUAAAUAAAAACGCGCCUGGGACUUUUACCUCAGAGGUGGUGUGGAAAAUAAGUCCAAUCACGAAAAUAAGUAUCUUAUACUCCAUGAAAGUGUCUCAGUCUUAUGAGAACACAAAGGUUGAGAGGGCUCAAACAUUCUGUUGUUUCCCGCAUAUGCUCCCAUGUUAGCAGUAAGGGUACUAAUUUCUGAUCUCUGUACAAAACAACCAAAUAAUAAGGAAAAGAAAGUUGAAUAAAAUGUUUGCCUGCACUCUCCGUCAGCAGCGUAGACGUAACAAGGGUUGAAAAAAUGAGUUAUUUAUUACAGCCGCUGGCCAACGCCUUGACCCCAGAGGCUUUGUGUUUGUCUCCGCGUCCUCCGCACUACACUGCACAGAAUCUGGCGAGCCUGGGUUGUGACAGCUAUUUCCCAAAGCCUCCAAGGAUACCAGUCAGGCUUAUGAGUGUUUUUUGUGUUGUUGGGGAAGCCUUGUCUAGGCUCGCGAAUCUACACCUGGAAAUACUACUACCAACACAACCCAUAUGAAAGCCUUUCCUAAAACAUAAAACCUCUAUCAUUGCCUUACCAGACGGAACCAAAGCUUACCAAAUACCCAAAAAUCUCUACUAUUUGUGGUUUUAACUCAUGGUAUUGAAUUUUCACUUAUUUUUUAUACUGAUGUUAGUGUCCCUUAUAUGUCUUGUUGGGUCUAUUAUUUGUUCUAUAUAUAAGGUAUUGAAUUUGCACUUAUUUUUUUUUAUUUUUUUUUUUUUUUUUUUUUUUGCCUAUUGCGCCGGUAGGCAUCUUCCCGGUGGGGCCUGAUGGUCGGCCCAAGGCUUCUUCCAGGUGGGGCCUGAUGGUCGGCCCAGCCCGUUCUGGCGCAGGCGAGUGUUUAUAGUGGCGCCAUCUUGCAUUGGCUCAUGCUGCCCCCCGGAACUCGUACUUGAUUCGCUUGGACGGCUUCCUCUAGAGUCCGGGUUGAUGGGUGGUCUUCAGGACAGCAUGUGGGUAGUUUUAAGCCACUCGGCGGUGACCGAAAAAUCCGAGUGGUAGCGUGAGGAUUCGAACCCGCGUCGUCCAUCACGCGGCAAAUGUGGGUCCAGUACGCUAUCACUUCGGCCACCGCCUACCCAUAUGUUGUGUCAUUGAGGGAGUGUUUGGGUCUAUCAUUUUUUUGUUUUGGAUGCCCCUUUAUGGAUCUAAAUAAUGACAUCCACCUUAAAAUAAAUGUAUGUGUCUGUGGUCAUCCCAAAGCUGAAGGUUGGCAUCUACUCCACUGGUUUUCAUAUGUUUUCUCGGACAGUUCAGAUUAUUAGCAAAUGUUUUUACCCGUCCGCUGUGAUUGGCACGGAUUUCGCCUUCACUGGUAGCCUGGUAACAUGUACUCCCAGAUCAUUCUUUGUCUCUGUGGUGGAUAGUGGAGUGCUUCCCAUGUGGUAUUGGUGUGCUGGAUAUCCCUUCACUGGUAGCCUGGUAACAUAUGUACUCCCAGAUCAUUCUUUGUCUCUGUGGUGGAUAGUGGAGUGCUUCCCAUGUGGUACUGGUGUGCUGGAUAUCCCCUCCCAAGGUGCAGGACUAUAUAUUUUUCUUCAUUGAA